rnacentral:rRNA from 1 species
AGAGUUUGAUCAUGGCUCAGAACGUACGCUGGCGGCACGCCUAACACAUGCAAGUCGAACGAAGUAGCAAUACUUAGUGGCAGACGGGUGAGUAACAUGUGGGUAUCUACCCUUUGGCCUGGAAUAACACGAGGAAACUUGUGCUAAUACCGGAUAAGUCUUUACGGAGAAAGCUUUAUGCACCAUUGGAUGAGCCCGCACUUGAUUAGUUUGUUGGUAGGGUAAUGGCCUACCAAGACUAUGAUCAAUAGCUGAUUUGAGAGGAUGAUCAGCCACAUUGGGACUGAGACACGGCCCAAACUCCUACGGGAGGCAGCAGUGGGGAAUCUUGCACAAUGGAGGAAACUCUGAUGCAGCGAUGCCGCGUGAGUGAAGAAGGCCCUUGGGUUGUAAAGCUCUUUCGUCGGGGAAGAAAAUGACUGUACCCGAAUAAGAAGGUCCGGCUAACUUCGUGCCAGCAGCCGCGGUAAUACGAAGGGACCUAGCGUAGUUCGGAAUUACUGGGCUUAAAGAGUUCGUAGGUGGUUGAAAAAGUUAGUGGUGAAAUCCCAGAGCUUAACUCUGGAACUGCCAUUAAAACUUUUCAGCUAGAGUAUGAUAGAGGAAAGCAGAAUUUCUAGUGUAGAGGUGAAAUUCGUAGAUAUUAGAAAGAAUACCAACUGCGAAGGCAGCUUUCUGGAUCAUUACUGACACUGAGGAACGAAAGCAUGGGUAGCGAAGAGGAUUAGAUACCCUCGUAGUCCAUGCCGUAAACGAUGUGUGUUAGACGUUGGAAAUUUAUUUUCAGUGUC